rnacentral:rRNA from 1 species
AGUUGCAUGCCCAAGACCCGAAGCGGAGUGAUCUAGCCAUGGGCAGGUUGAAGCGCGGGUAAGACCGUGUGGAGGACCGAACCCACCAGGGUUGAAAACCUGGGGGAUGACCUGUGGUUAGGGGUGAAAGGCCAAUCAAACUCCGUGAUAGCUGGUUCUCCCCGAAAUGCAUUUAGGUGCAGCGUCACGUGUUUCUUGCCGGAGGUAGAGCACUGGAUAGGCGAUGGGCCUCACCGGGUUACUGACCUUAGCCAAACUCCGAAUGCCGGUAAGUGAGAGCGUGGCAGUGAGACUGUGGGGGAUAAGCUCCAUGGUCGAGAGGGAAACAGCCCAGAACACCGACUAAGGUCCCUAAGCGUGUGCUAAGUGGGAAAGGAUGUGGAGUCGCAGAGACAACCAGGAGGUUGGCUUAGAAGCAGCCACCCUUGAAAGAGUGCGUAAUAGCUCACUGGUCAAGUGAUUCCGCGCCGACAAUGUAGCGGGGCUCAAGCACAUCACCGAAGUCGUGUCAUUGCAACUAUAGGGCCAACGCCUGUUGUGAUGGGUAGGGGAGCGUCGUGUGCCGGGUGAAGCGGCGGUGGAAACCAGUCGUGGACGGUAUACGAGUGAGAAUGCAGGCAUGAGUAGCGAUACAAGAGUGGGAAACUCUUGCGCCGAUUGACCAAGGGUUCCUGGGUCAAGCUGAUCUGCCCAGGGUAAGUCGGGACCUAAGGCGAGGCCGACAGGCGUAGUCGAUGGACAACGGGUUGAUAUUCCCGUACCCGCUUUGAAGCGCCAACGCUGAACC